rnacentral:rRNA from 1 species
CCCUUAGAUGUCCUGGGCCGCACGCGCGCUACAAUGACUCACUCAGAAAGUUUUUCCUGAUCCGGAAGGAUUCGGGUAAUCUUCAUAGCAUGAGUCGUGUUAGGGAUCGAUCUUUGCAAUUAUAGAUCUUGAACGAGGAAUGCCUAGUAAGUGCAGCUCAUCAGGCUGUACUGAUUACGUCCCUGCCCUUUGUACACACCGCCCGUCGCUCCUACCGAUUGAGUGGUCCGGUGAACCUUCUGGAUUAAGCAGCAAUGCUUGAGAAGCUAGGUAAACCUUAUCACUUAGAGGAAGGAGAAGUCGUAACA